rnacentral:lncRNA from 1 species
AUGCGCAAAAUCUCAAGAACUAUAGGGACCAGGCGGAGGGAGCCACUUAUUCCUCUUCCAGGACUGGGGUCCUUCCGGAGAGAGUCGCGGCGGCGGGGGGCUGGCGGGCCCAGCCGCCGGACCAGGCCAGGGCGGCCCCGCCUGCCCGCCCCGCCUCCCUCCCGGGUUUCUGCCCCGCGCGCGGUUGCUGUGGCAGCGCGGGACGCCGCCGGAACCCCGGCGGCCGCGGCCUCCACCUCGCCCUCGGCGGCCUCCGCGGGACCCCUGCUCGGGCCCAGCCCGCGCUCCGCCAUGCCCCGGGGGAGGCGCGGGGGCCGGGUGAGCGCCCUGGAGGGCGGCCGGGGGGAGGAGGCGCGCCCGGCGGCGGGGGCCGUGCAGUCGGCGCGGCGGGCGUCCGGGCGGCAGCCGGAGGCGGCGGCCGAGCUGAUUCUGCUCCGGGGCAUCUUCGAGAUCGGGAGGGACAGCUGCGACGUGGUGCUGAGCGAGCGGGCCCUGAGGUGGCAGCCCAUCCGGCCCGAGCGUCUCCCAGGUGAUUCCAAGUAUGAUUUUCUACAUAGAGAAGAAUUUGUUGAACUCAAGGACAUAUUCUCUGUCAAACUGAAACGGCGUUGUUCAAUAAAACAGCAGAAAAGUGGUACUUUAUUAGGAAUCACUCUCUUCAUAUGUUUGAAAAAGGAACAAAAUAAAUUAAAGGAUUCUACACUUGAUCUUAUUAAUUUAAGUGAAGACCACUGUGACAUAUGGUUUAGACAGUUCAAGAAAAUUUUGGCAGGAUUUUCAAACAGACCAAAGUCAUUAAAAAUACUUCUUAACCCCCAAAGCCACAAAAAGGAAGCUGCUCAGGUCUAUUAUGAAAAGGUUGAACCACUGUUGAAGAUUGCAGGAAUAAAGACUGAUGUAACAAUAACAGAAUAUGAAGGGCAUGCCCUGUCACUACUCAAAGAAUGCGAACUACAGGGAUUUGAUGGUGUGGUAUGUGUUGGUGGAGAUGGAUCUGCCAGUGAAGUAGCCCAUGCUUUGCUUCUUAGAGCCCAGAAGAAUGCAGGGUUGGAAACAGACAGCAUCCUGACUCCUGUGGGAGCCCAGCUUCCGCUUGGUGUGAUACCAGCAGGAUCUACUAAUGUAUUGGCGCAUUCUCUCCAUGGAGUUUCUCAUGUGAUAACUGCAACUUUGCACAUUAUAAUGGGGCAUAUACAACCAGUCGAUGUCUGUACCUUCAGCACCAUGGGCAAAUUUCUUCGCUUUGGCUUCUCGGCCAUGUUUGGCUUUGGUGGAAGAGCUUUGGCUGUGGCAGAAAAUCAUCGAUGGAUGUCCCCCAACCAGCGGAUGGAUUUUGCUAUCAUGAAGGCACUGGCAAAACUAAAGCCAGAAGAAUGUGAAAUAUCAUUUUUACCAUUUAACAGCUCUCAGGAUUUAGAAGAAAGGAGGGCACAAGGAUAUCCCAAAUCUGAUUGUAAUGAUCAGUGGCAGAUGAUCCAGGGUCAGUUCUUGAAUGUCAGCAUUAUGGCAAUUCCAUGCCGGUGUGCAGUGGCACCUAGAGGCUUGGCACCUAAUACCGGAUUAAAUAAUGGAAGCAUGGCUCUCAUAACUGCACGAAACACUUCACGACCGGAAUUUAUAAAACACCUGAAAAGAUAUGCAAGUAUUAAAAACCAGUUCAAUUUUCCAUUUGUUGAUACUUACACUGUUGAAGAAGUAAAAGUUUGCCCAAGGAGUAACAGCAGUGGACACAAUCCAGAGGAAGAUCAUGGACCACGUGAAACUGCUUCAGGAAACUGUUUCCCUUGGAAUGUAGAUGGUGAUUUAAUGCAAGUUGCAUCAGAGGUCCAUGUUAGAGUACACCCAAGACUUAUCAAUCUUUAUGGAAGAAGCAUGGAAGAAAUGAAUGAUUCCAAAGUAACAUGUAGUUGUUUAUAAGAGGAAUGUGGAAACUAGAAUUUUAAUAUGAAAAUAUAUAUUAUAUUUUAAUUAAUCAGAUAUUUUAAUAAGGAAAAAUAUCUAUUUUGAAAAGGAAUUAAAAUUGCUAUUUUUGACGUUACUAAAAUUAGCUUCUAAACUUAAAAAAAUAAGACAUGAAAUAUAUACAAAACAACUGAAAUUUUGGUUUUUGGAGAGUAUUUAUUGGAAUGGAAAAUAAACAUCUCCGGUAUUUGAAAUUUAAACA